ensembl:lncRNA
CUUGCAUCCAAAGCACCGUGUCCCUGCUCUCUGGCUGCCUGAAGAAUGGGGAGAACGUUGCCGUUGUCUUCAAGGACAUUGGAGUGCUCCACAUCGAUGGACUGACCUUCCACAUGAAAUUCUAUUACGACUUCCUUGAGAAGCUGUCAGGGAAAGAGAAGUUCAGGAAAGCUCUUCUCAAGGCCCCCUGGCUGCUGGACAUGGUGGUGUCCCGAGCGGCACCGGUGGCCUCCCUGGCACUCUCUGGCUGCCUCGUCGUCUUUCCCAAGUUUCAAAUGGAGUUUGUCCCCAAACCACCACCUGGGAUAUCCCGCAGGUCCUCAGGAG